UUUAAGAUGAAUAAUUGUCAUCUGAUGAUUGAACUUAACUGUGCAGAGCGGGGCUGUCCUGCGGUAUAAUUUCACAAUUGAAAGGCAUACCAGUGAGGUAUACAAGAGAUCAAUGUUCGAGCAAUUUGGGAAGAUGAUCUUCCAAGCAUGCGCUUACAAGGUAGAGGAGGUGGAGAAGAACAGACUAUACAGAACCACACACACAGAUGCCUCCAGGCGGGAGAAGUCGAGUAGAGUUGUAUUUGAUGUGAAUAUGCUAGAUGAAGGGCAGCAGUUCAAUUGUGAGUGUAGAAUGUUUGCACACAUGGGGAUGCUUUGGGGCAUGCUCUGAAGGUGAUGGAUUAUGUUGGAGUAACUGAGAUACCUAAGAAGCAUAUCCUGAAGCAGUGGAUGAGAGGUGCAAGGAAUUUGCUUCCAGAACACCUGCGGCACUGCGUGACCAGGCUGUUGGAAAAAAAUUCACGAAGAGGCAUUCCAGUCUAUACAUACAAGCAAUGGAACUUGUUAGGCUUGGAGAUACAAGCGCCGCAGCUUCUGACAAGUUAGCAGUCCUGUUCAAGGAGAACCUUGCUACCAUGGCUCCUUUCGAAGAAACAAGGGAUGGCCUUGGUUUGGAGGACAGACCAUCGACUAGAGCACCGUGCGAGGGUUGUAGCAAAAGAACUAGAUUUUGCAGCAUCUGCAAAAAGCCCAGUCACAAAUGAACUACUUGCCCAGAGAGGGGAAUGAGCCAAAGCAGCCAAGGAAGCCAGGAAGGUGCAGUGUCUGUGGUGUUGCUGGGCAUGGGAGCACCUGUGAAAACCCAUGCAGGUGUGACAAAGAAUAGUAGUAGGAAAUUCGCCUGUACUAAUCGUGUUAAAGCUUCAUGACUAUGUGUAAUAAAAAUAACUGCUUGAGUAAUGAGUGUCGUUCUGUAUGGUAGUAGUACUGUUUAGUGUUUGGAGUGUAUGAACAAAAUGCGUGGCGCGGCCGUAGUGAAACUGUAAAAAAGAUUGUAAUCUUGAGCUGCUCCAUUGGAGCUGCAUUCAAUCAAUACAGCAAGUGCAUGGCCGCAUGGGCA